UGAAUAUAUAUUGUCAAAAAUAAAUAAUAAUAGCACUCUGUCAAGCUGCAUGCAGCCUUGUAACUUGUUUAAGUAAGUGAUCUUCUUUCAAACUGUUCUGAUAAUGUUGUACUAGCAGCCCGCAGAAACAUCAUAAGCUAUGAACAAUGUUCAAGAAAUUGCUCUCCUAUAGUGACUUGCUAUGCAAUUCUACUCGAUAAUCUCAUCAACACUACAAAAGAUGUGAACAUACUUUGCAAUAGCGAUAUCAUAGAUAACUGGCUGAAUCCGGACGACGCAACUCAGUUCUUCAACAAGCUCUACAUCGAUGCCCAUGUGAAAAAAUUCUAUUAUUUUAACCUCUGUAGGGAUGUGAACAACUAUCGUAAACACAAUUGGCCGCAGUGGAGAGCAGCUUAUUUGCACAACUAUUUUGGGACUCCAUUGGUGGUUGCUUCUCAGGUUUUUGCUGCUAUUGUUUUGAUUCUUACUUUCUUACAAACUUUGUUUUCUAUCAUCAAAUAGAAUUGUAUUGUUCUUUUUUCAGAAUAAGUCAUGUUUUAUGUCUUCAUUCUUAGAAUUUGUUUACUUUGAACUCACUUAUUUUGUUGGAGGAGUGAUAUAUAAAAAUGUGUGAUUCAUAUAUAUGUAAUUUUACUUUUUAAUUUAUUGUGAUGA